rnacentral:rRNA from 1 species
CACGUAGGGUGCGAGCGUUGUCCGGAAUUAUUGGGCGUAAAGAGCUCGUAGGCGGUCUGUCGCGUCGGCUGUGAAAUCCCGAGGCUCAACCUCGGGUCUGCAGUCGAUACGGGCAAACUAGAGUAUUGCAGGGGAGACUGGAAUUCCUGGUGUAGCGGUGAAAUGCGCAGAUAUCAGGAGGAACACCGGUGGCGAAGGCGGGUCUCUGGGCAAUAACUGACGCUGAGGAGCGAAAGCGUGGGGAGCGAACAGG